rnacentral:rRNA from 1 species
UACAGAGGUCUCAAGUGUUGUUCGGAUUCAUUGGGCGUAAAGGGUGUGUAGGUGGCGCCGUAAGUCGGGUGUGAAAUCUCGGGGCUUAACUCCGAAACUGCAUUCGAUACUGCGGUGCUUGAGGACUGGAGAGGAGACUGGAAUUCAUGGUGUAGCAGUGAAAUGCGUAGAUAUCGUUUGGAACGCCAAGGGUGAAAACAGGUUGCUGGGGACAUGCUGACGCUGAGACACGAAAGCCAGGGGAGCGAACGGG